CAUGCAAAAUAAAAAAAGAUGAAAUACGUAGUACACAACACAGAACUGCAAGAAACACCUCACUCAUCCACAGUAAAUCGAAUGGCAUAUGAGCCAGGUGUUUUAGCAUUGGUUCAGGCUGGUGAGGCACUUUUUCAUUGUGAAUGUGCAACAGUAGUGUUUGAUGCAACCACCGUUUUAGACAAACAUGUAAAUGAGUUCCUUAUCAGUACUUAUCCUCCGCAGAGAUGUUAUUCCUUAUCAACCGCUAAACUUGCUGGAGGCACAGGAUUUGACUGUGCCACUCAUAUUGUCAGUGUAAUAAAAGAACUUGCCAAUACAUUUGCAGAGUUUAAAAAUAUGCCAGCAGUAGAAGUUUUAGAUGUUUUCACUCAAAAAAUUAAAAGUUGUCUGUCAGACAGAGCACCUGUUAAUAGUUGUGUGAAAAACAUGCUUUAGGAGGAGAUGGACAUUCAAUUAAUGCAACUGUACUGCAAUGUUCAUCCAUUGGAAACUAUUGCCUUAAAAGCAUUAUUAGCUCUUAAAACAAUAGAUAAUGAGUUGAAUAUAAAACCAGCUAAAGGAACUGAUGGGGUUGCAGUAACAGUCCUCAAAAAUAUUUCUAAGCUAAGGUAUAGUUUUAAAGGCGAUCCUGCAGCAUUCAAAAGCUAUCUUAAAAAAAACAAUGUUGCUCCAGGGCUAUUCCUUAGAUAUGUUGGUAGUAGAUUUCAUGUUUUGUUCCAUAUGGCAGGGAUUGUUGUUACAUACGAAAGACUUAUAAAAACCUUUAUUGAAAACAACACCAAAAAUAAAAUUUGCCAACUCUUACUUCAAGAUAUGAGUAAUGAUAUAACGCUUGUGCAACUGCAAGGGUUGGGCCUGAUAGGAAAAAUAAUAACUGAGCCAUGGAUGAGUCUGGUUUAUAAAAAUGCAACAGGAAAAAGUAAUCUUGAGUUUGGUGACAUUUUCCAGAAAGCAAUAAGGAAAUCAGCUUACUUCAAAAGUAAUCCAGAAUCAAUUCUUUAUACAGAUGUGGAUAUUUUUAGUCAAGUAUUAAGUAUCAAAAAAGAUAAGGUACACCAAUCCCUUCGUGUAAUAAAAAAUAAAAAUAUUUUGGUAAAGAUUUUAUCAGCUUUGAUAAGCUGCACAGAGACAGUUCUCAAAAGACAGAUGGCCAGGUAUUUGACUGGCAAUCUCUCAAAUCCAUCUAAAGAAAUGAUAAAAACCACACUAUCUGCUCCACCUCAUACAAUGGAGGCUGAAAGGAUCUUGGGCAUGCUUGAUUUUUUUUUGCGUCAUGCUCCUAAUGCUACUUUUGGUUUUCUGGAUUCUAAAAUAAAAGCUAGGGUAAACAAAACAUUAACAUGGCUUGAUGAGAAAACAUUGCCAGAACAAGAAGAUCUUAUUCAAUUUGUAAUUCGCAGAGGAGCUUUAAUGUGCCAAGCCUCUAAAAAUUUUAAUAAUCUUUUGUAUGAAGAAAUAGGAAAAAGAUGCGCCAAAGCUAAUUUAAAAAAAGAGCGUCUGGAAAGAAAGUAACUAGAGAAGGAUAUUAAAAGAGCAAUAGCUGAAAAUGCCAAAACCAUAAAUCCUCUUUUUGUUAAUAUUGAUGAAAAACAAAAACGAAUUUUAGGAGUAAUUUUGAAAAAUGGAAACUUGAUAGGGCAGCUCUUAAGCCAUAAAUGGAAGCUAGAUGAUGGAUAUUGGAAAGUCAAUGAAGAUGAAGCUGAAGAUAUUGACAUAAGCCAGGAAGGAGUUAUAGCAGAUCUAAUACUUAAAGGCUUGGAGUUCAUUUAAAAAUUACUAUAAUAUAUUAGGCAUUAUUAUCUUUUAUUUUGUUUAUGUUGAUUAUUUUGUAUACAUUUUUAUUUAUUCCUUUUCGUUUUUAAAUAUUUUUAUAUUAACCAAGAGCAGACACAGGGUUAUUUUACAUUUCAGAUACUGUACUUGGCAUUGUGAAAACUCUAAGUAUAAGUAUGUUCAAUCAUAUGUCAAAUAAGAAUGAUUUGCUAAAAAAUUGUGGUAAUUAAAACUUAGGAACAAAACUAUCUAAAAAAGAUAGAACCCCCCUGUCUCAAAUGUUAAUUUAAUGAGUAAAUAAGUUUUUAAGUUUAUUAUCCAAAACUAAAUUUAAAUUCACAUUUUUUAAUGCUCAAAGGUUAUGACCAUGUGAAAUAACUUAAAAAAAAUAACUUUAAACAUAUCAAGAAUUAUUGGGUCUGUUGAUGGAUUUAAAUGUAGUAUAAAAUAAUAAGUAAAAGUAUUUUAAUAACUUGGUCCCCUCACAUUUUUAUGUGGGGUACAAACUUUUUGGGGUAUUUUUGUUCCUAGGCUCCAAUCACUUCAAUUUUUUAUACAAUUUUUUUACACAUUCUCAUUAGAUUUAAGCAUGAACAAACUUAAAUUUAGAUUAGUUAUGGUAAUUUUUUUAAUAAAAUGACUAGAAUCGAAUUUGACCCCCUUUUAAAAUAGGCUUAAACACCCCCCCCCUCCUCUCUUUUUUUUUUUUUUUAAAUUUAUUUUAUAUAAGUGGGAUAUAAUAAACAGUUUUUAUCAUAUAUGUGACAGUAAAUUGUUAAUAUUUUAUGAACUAUGUUAUAAAGUCCACUUUUUGAAGUCAUUUUCUUGUGUAUCUUUGUUAAGAUGUCCACUUUAUUUUCUCUGCCUUCAAAAUUGAAUAUCUUUUUUUAUAGUUGACCCCAGAUAAUAAAUUUGGUAUAAAAAUUUGUCAUUUAAUAUUCUCUAUAUAAUAGAAUUAAUUUGGUUUAAAAAAUAAAAGUUUAAAUUUUUUAUGA
rnacentral:misc_RNA from 1 species